rnacentral:rRNA from 1 species
UGGGGAAUAUUGGACAAUGGGGGCAACCCUGAUCCAGCCAUGCCGCGUGUGUGAAGAAGGCCUUUUGGUUGUAAAGCACUUUAAGCAGUGAAGAAGACUCCAUGGUUAAUACCCAUGGACGAUGACAUUAGCUGCAGAAUAAGCACCGGCUAACUCUGUGCCAGCAGCCGCGGUAAUACAGAGGGUGCAAGCGUUAAUCGGAAUUACUGGGCGUAAAGCGAGCGUAGGUGGCUUGAUAAGUCAGAUGUGAAAGCCCCGGGCUUAACCUGGGAACGGCAUCUGAUACUGUUAGGCUAGAGUGGGUGAGAGGAAGGUAGAAUUCCAGGUGUAGCGGUGAAAUGCGUAGAGAUCUGGAGGAAUACCGAUGGCGAAGGCAGCCUUCUGGCAUCAUACUGACACUGAGGUUCGAAAGCGUGGGUAGCAAACA